AUACGUAGGGGGCGAGCGUUGUCCGGAAUGAUUGGGCGUAAAGGGCGCGUAGGCGGCGCGGUAAGUCUGGAGUGAAAGUCCUGCUUUCAAGGUGGGAAUUGCUUUGGAUACUGCCGCGCUUGAGUGCAGGAGAGGUUAUCGGAAUUCCCGGUGUAGCGGUGAAAUGCGUAGAGAUCGGGAGGAACACCAGUGGCGAAGGCGGGUAACUGGACUGCAACUGACGCUGAGGCGCGAAAGUGUGGGGAGCAAACGGGAUUAGAUACCCUGGUAGUCCACACUGUAAACGAUGAAUGCUAGGUGUAAGAGGUAUCGACCCCUUUUGUGCCGGAGUCAACACAAUAAGCAUUCCGCCUGGGGAGUACGGCCGCAAGGUUGAAACUCAAAUGAAUUGACGGGG
rnacentral:rRNA from 1 species